AUUGAACGCUGGCGGCAUGCCUUACACAUGCAAGUCGAACGGCAGCACGGGAGCAAUCCUGGUGGCGAGUGGCGAACGGGUGAGUAAAGUAUCGGAACGUGCCCAGUCGUGGGGGAUAACGUAGCGAAAGUUACGCUAAUACCGCAUACGAUCUAUGGAUGAAAGCGGGGGAUCGCAAGACCUCGCGCGAUUGGAGCGGCCGGUAUCAGAUUAGGUAGUUGGUGGGGUAAAGGCUCACCAAGCCGACGAUCUGUAGCUGGUCUGAGAGGACGACCAGCGACACGGGGACUGAGACACGGCCCAGACUCCUACGGGGGGCAGCAGUGGGGAAUUUUGGACAAUGGGCGAAAGCCUGAUCCAGCCAUGCCGCGUGCAGGAUGAAGGCCUUCGGGUUGUAAACUGCUUUUGUACGGAACGAAAAGGUUUGGCCUAAUAAGCUGAGCUCAUGACGGUACCGUAAGAAUAAGCACCGGCUAACUACGUGCCAGCCGCCGCAGUAA
rnacentral:rRNA from 1 species